rnacentral:tRNA from 1 species
GCGGGCGUAGCUCAAUGGCCAGAGUCUCUGCCUUCCAAGCAGAUGAUGCGGGUUCGAUUCCCGUCGCCCGCU